rnacentral:rRNA from 1 species
UACGAAGGGUGCAAGCGUUGCUCGGAAUCACUGGGCGUAAAGGGUGCGUAGGCGGGUCUUUAAGUCAGGGGUGAAAGCCCGGGGCUCAACCUCGGAACUGCCUUCGAUACUGGCUAUCUUGAGUACGGGAGAGGUGUGUGGAACUCCGAGUGUAGAGGUGAAAUUCGUAGAUAUUCGGAAGAACACCAGUGGCGAAGGCGACACACUGGCCCGUUACUGACGCUGAGGCGCGAAAGCGUGGGGAGCAAACAGG